CUACGGGUGGCAGCAGUGGGGAAUAUUGCACAAUGGGCGCAAGCCUGAUGCAGCCAUGCCGCGUGUAUGAAGAAGGCCUUCGGGUUGUAAAGUACUUUCAGCGGGGAGGAAGGGAGUAAAGUUAAUACCUUUGCUCAUUGACGUUACCCGCAGAAGAAGCACCGGCUAACUCCGUGCCAGCAGCCGCGGUAAUACGGAGGGUGCAAGCGAUAAUCGGAAUUACUGGGCGUAAAGCGCACGCAGGCGGUUUGUUAAGUCAGAUGUGAAAUCCCCGGGCUCAACCUGGGAACUGCAUCUGAUACUGGCAAGCUUGAGUCUCGUAGAGGGGGGUAGAAUUCCAGGUGUAGCGGUGAUAUGCGUAGAGAUCUGGAGGAAUACCGGUGGCGAAGGCGGCCCCCUGGACGAAGACUGACGCUCAGGUGCGAAAGCGUGGGGAGCAAACAGGAUUAGAUACCCCGGUAGUC
rnacentral:rRNA from 1 species